rnacentral:rRNA from 1 species
AACGAACGCUGGCGGCAUGCCUAACGCAUGCAAGUCGAACGAGACCUCCGGGUCUAGUGGCGCACGGGUGCGUAACGCGUGGGAACCUGCCCUUAGGUUCGGAAUAACUCCCCGAAAGGGGUGCUAAUACCGGAUAAUGUCUUCGGACCAAAGAUUUAUCGCCCUUGGAUGGGCCCGCGUUGGAUUAGCUAGUUGGUAGGGUAAAAGCCUACCAAGGCGACGAUCCAUAGCUGGUCUGAGAGGAUGAGCCGCCACACUGGGACUGAGACACGGCCCGGACUACUACGGGAGGCAGCAGUGGGGAAUAUUGGACAAUGGGCGAAAGCCUGAUCCAGCAAUGCCGCGUGAGUGAUGAAGGCCUUAGGGUUGUAAAGCUCUUUUACCCGGGAUGAUAAUGACAGUACCGAGAGAAUAAGCACCGGCUAACUCCGUG